AACGAACGCUGGCGGCAGGCUUAACGCAUGCAAGUCGAACGGGUGUAGCAAUACAUCAGUGGCAGACGGGUGAGUAACACGUGGGAACCUUCCUAGGGGUACGGAACAACUCAGGGAAACUUGAGCUAAUACCGUAUACGUCCGUGAGGAGAAAGAUUUAUCGCCCUUAGACGGGCCCGCGUCGGAUUAGGUAGUUGGUGGGGUAACGGCCUACCAAGCCUACGAUCCGUAGCUGAUCUUAGAGGAUGAUCAGCCACACUGGGACUGAGACACGGCCCAGACUCCUACGGGAGGCAGCAGUGGGGAAUCUUGGACAAUGGGCGCAAGCCUGAUCCAGCCAUGCCGCGUGAGUGAAGAAGGCCUUAGGGUUGUAAAGCUCUUUUACCAGGGACGAUAAUGACGGUACCUGGAGAAUAAGCCCCGGCAAACUUCGUGCCAGCAGCCGCCGUAACAC
rnacentral:rRNA from 1 species